UUUUGACUGCUAUGUUGGCCUUGUUUCUGGUUUUUCUUUUGUUCUCUUCUUUCUUCCAGAGCCAUGAUCAUCACAAAUCUUCUAAGGAGAUAAGUCUCUCUAGGAAGUUGCUAUCUCAAUCUAUGGAUUCUAUUAUUUCAACAAGAAGAGUAGGAAAAUUAAGUGGAAGCAAGAAACAGAAUAAGAAAGCUGUGUUUGUGCAACAGAGUUUGAGGAAAGCUCCACCAAGUGUUCCAAAUCCUACUCAGAACAAGUAGC
rnacentral:lncRNA from 1 species